rnacentral:rRNA from 1 species
ACGAACGCUGGCGGCGUGCUUAACACAUGCAAGUCGAACGGAGUGCCCAUGACAGAGGUUUCGGCCAAUUGAUUGGGUUACUUAGUGGCGGACUGGUGAGUAACGCGUGAGGAACCUGCCUUUCAGAGGGGGACAACAGUUGGAAACGACUGCUAAUACCGCAUGACGCAUGACUGGGGCAUCCCGGACAUGCCAAAGAUUUAUCGCUGAAAGAUGGCCUCGCGUCUGAUUAGAUAGUUGGCGGGUAACGGCCCACCAAGUCGACGAUCAGUAGCCGGACUGAGAGGUUGACCGGCCACAUUGGGACUGAGACACGGCCCAGACUCCUACGGGAGGCAGCAGUAGGGAAUUUUCGGCAAUGGGGGCAACCCUGACCGAGCAACGCCGCGUGAGUGAUGAAGGUCUUCGGAUUGUAAAGCUCUGUUGUAAGGGAAGAACGGCAUCUAGAGAAUAGGUGAGUGACGGUACCUUACCAGAAAGCUACGGCUAACUACGUG